AGCGGACAAGCACCGCUAAUUAUUACAUUAAAUGUAGAAGAUAUAAUAACCCACUGGGCUAACACUGGUUGAAUCAACGUUGUUGCCACGUCAUUUCACUGACAUUUCAAUGAACCGAAGUGGAAUAGAAAUUGAAUUGACGUCUGUGCCCAGUGGGAAAUCAUGAUCCCCCUGUGCUAUGAAGUGGAGGAAAUAGUCUACCUUACAAAGGAGCACUUGCCGCAGCCAGAGAGACAUUUCAGGACAGGGCCAAAGAGACACAAGAACCACAAGCUGUCAAGGAACAGACCCUGACAUCCCGCUGACAUCUCAUAUUCCCCAGUCAUCGCCAAGUCUCCCACUAAAUGGGGCGACGGUUCAAAAGCAAGUUGGGAGGAGAAUACUGAAGCAAAGAAGCCAUAGGUCUUUGGUUCAACCUCUAAGGAUUCUGAUUUAAACGUUAAGGGACUUUUCUUCUGUGGUGUUUAGAGAGAAAAUAAAGAUUGUCAGUGUUUUGGGAGAUUGACACUCAACAGAACAGAGAGUCUCAGAGAGGCAAAAACACUAAAUAAGUAGCAUAUUUUGCUAUGGAGACAAUGAUUAAUUCUAUUGUGGAAG
rnacentral:lncRNA from 1 species